AAAAGUUUCGACUAUGUUUACAAAGUACCUAGUACAGUGUUAGCAUCUUUAGGUCAUGAUUUAUAGGGUCUCUGUUGUUCAUUACAUUUAUUGAUUCAAAUAAUCUUUCUUGGUUAUGCUUUUGCAGUGCUUUAAAUGGAGUUGCUAAAGUAUGGAGCAUGCCUCAAGUAAACAAGGUUGCUACCUUGAAGGGACACGGAGAGCGUGCAACAGAUAUUGCAUU
rnacentral:misc_RNA from 1 species